UCAAUGAUGAGAGAGAAUGAUUAAUCAGCUACCUCCCUCAUGUCCCCCACUGGGGGUUGAGCCCCAAACCAGGGAAUGUGCCCCUACCGGGAAUCCAGCUGUGACCACCUGGGUCACAGGUCGGUGCUCAACCACUGAGCCACACUGGGCAGGCCCCAUCUGCAUCUCUUGACCAAAGUUGAAUCCGGGGGGGGGGGGGCAGUGACUGAUAGGAUUUUCUGUUAUUUUCUGUCACAGGGUGUUUCCUCUGAGGCCUACUUCAACCCUGGUGCCCUGCUUCCCCCAACCCCCUUGAAAGGGGCUGUUCCUCUCUACAAUCCAUCUCAGGUCCCCCAGCUCCCCACGGCUGCUAGCCUGAGCCGGCCGAGCCGUCUAGCUCAGCGUCGCUACCCAACACAGCCAUGAUGACCAGCCACCCAUCCCAGGCCCGUCUCCCUGGGGUACAACAUUUAAAUCUCCCAGCCCCGCUGCUGGGAUGGGGCCCCCAGGAGGUUGUGCUAGACUAUUGCCUCCACUGGGUAUGGAGAAGGCAAGUGGACAGGGUACACCAGGACAUAGCUCAGUUCAGGCCCUUAAGAUCAGCUUCACGCGAUGGAAAUGACUUCAUCACAUGGAAAAGCUGGGCAUGGAGGCAGCACUGAGGACGGCCGCUUCACAUUCUCAGGGCCUAAGGGAUUGACGGAGGACACCACUGGGCUCUGCAGCAGGAAAGUAUUGGGGGCCGGGGACACGCAGAGCAACACCCUGGACUAAUUUGACUCCUUCCUCAGUUAUAGACCAAUUUAUGACUCUACUUAGCAAAAGCUUUUAUACUAAAACUUAAUUAUUCUCAUCAUAAUUCCCUUUUCAGUGGCAUUUCAGCAGUUUCUCUGUUGGUCCUUGUUUUGUGCACAUUUUUAUGUGGUUCAGAUUAAUUAUAUUUCUCUCACUUUCUUAGCCGGUCCUAUUUUUCAUAUUCUGGCAUCUGGCUAUCAAGUUAGAUUGCUGUAGGCUUCAUAUUGUCAUGGUAACUACCUAACCUAUCGAUGCAGAUGGAUGGAACGUUCGUCUAAUAAAGGGUGGAAAACAUUUUCUAAAACUUCACCCCUUCCCUGACAGGAGGAAUGAAUGUGCGAUAUUGUUAAUCCCUCCCUCCCUGCUUUAGGCCUUUGCAAAUCAAUGUUCGGAGGGUCACUGGAGCCAGAGGGAAGAGGCGGACAGCCUAGAAAUUCCCAUUUUUUUCCCUCUUUCAAACCCCAAAUAGAAACGACUCUCGGUGUUUGUCAGAUUGCUAAAAAUUGCUCCUCAAAAAGAAUUUUUUUUGGAUGUGUCAUUGUACAUACAGGUUUUGUACUCUAAUGUACUACAGUUCUAAUGUUGGUAGCGAUUAAACCAGAUAAUUUUAUAGCAAAUGUU